ensembl:lncRNA
GUGACGAGCAGAGUGCCAAAAAUACAGAAGAGUUGGCACAUAAAAUCCAUGUCUACUCUAGCUACUCUGUCAGGGCUAAAAAGAAAAAAGUCCUGAAUGAGCCUUGGAGAGUCAACAAAUCACUAAAAUAGCAGCUAAAAGAGGAAGUUCAGCACGAGUUCAAGUCAUUAAAAUUCCCUCUAAUGUAUGCUCUCGCAGACCAGUGGGCUGAGUGUGAUCCUGGGGAGGGGAAGGAUGUGUGUGAGCUUGUGAGCAAGGGGAAAAUGGACAGGGCUGAUGUUGCUGACCUUCAGUGUGCUAGCCUGAUCAUUCCUGUUGUUUGAGAUGGCUGGGUGGGAAGAAAAGGUAAUGUGGAGAAAAAAAGGAGACUUACACCUGGAUUGUCCAUGUUAGCCUCAUUUCUCAUUGCCUCCAGAGGGAGUUCUGUUCAGGGAGUGCAAAGCAGGCCUGGAGGGAGUGGAAGUUGUCCUGUUGGACCAGGAGAAGAUUUCCAGUGUCUGAUCCCCGGGAGCUGCAAUCAGCUGAGGUUUCUGCUUGCCACACGUCCCUGAAUGUGACAAGGAGAGAGGGUUUCACUCUCAGCUGGCGAGGAGCCCUCUGCACACCCAGACUGUGGUGCAUGGUCAGGAGGUCAUUUCUGCCCACACAGUGGCCCAGCGCUGUCCCAGCAUGGAGCACUGAGGGCUGCUGCAGAUGUACUGCACUCACAGGCAGGUUUCCUUUGGAUGGAAAAUGA